GGUGGCUCAGUGGUAGAGUGCUUGCCUUGCAUGCAUGAGGCCCUGGGUCAAUUCCUCAGCACCA
rfam:Dipodomys ordii contig_4702, whole genome shotgun sequence.